UCAGAUGUAGUGUAGGGGGAACACGGCCUCUUUAUCUAUAAUUUUAAAUUGAUUACAAUUUGCAAGAAGCAGCCCAGGGUUCGAAUCCCUGUGUUUGAA